UAGAUGGGGCUGAUUUCCUCUUCCAUUGUCUUAGAAAAAAAGAGUUCCUGAUGGUUGAAAAUUUUGUUGAGAGGAUGUUCAUCAAAAUGCUGUUUACGCUAGCAGAGAAUUGGAAAGCACACAACUUCUUAGAAAUGGAGGAUUGGUUAAAUAAUCGUGAUAUGUUAAUACAGUAAAACACUAACAGGCAUUUAAAAAAGUAAAAAGACCAACAAGAGCUUGGAAGAAGCCUCAUAAUGUGACCUAAGGUGAAAAAAAAAAUCCUGACUAUAAAACAUCACGUAUGGGAGUUUGGGAUUGACAUAUACAUACUACUCUUUUUAAAAUAGAUAACCAACAAGUACCUACUGUAUAGCACAGGGAACUCUGCUCAAUAUUCUGUAAUAACCUAAUUGGGAAAGAAUUCGAAAAAGAAUAGGUAUAUGUAUAUGUAUAACUGAAUCACUUUGCUGCACACCUGAAACUAACAUAGCAUUAUAAAGCAAGUAUAGUCUAACAUAAAAUAAAAAUUUAAAAAAUUAUAUACAUGUUGUCCUACUUGUGUAACAUUAUGUGCAUAUGUGUAGGAAAAUAUAGAAAAAUGUUAACAGUGGUUAUCUCUUGGGAUUGGGGUGAUGUUUAAUUUCUUAUUUACUUGCUUAUAUAUCUGCAAUAAGGAAAACGCAAAAACUUAAUGCAAAUUGCUUUGUAUUUUAGUGGUAAAUAAAUAGUAUAUUAGAAAAUACUACAGAAAAGUACAAAGAAGAAAAUAAAUAGUCCUGGAAGUCCUCACUUCCAUAGAAAAUCGAUAUUAGUAUUUGGUUAUGAGGCAUUGAAAUAAUUCUUGAUAAAUUUAUGUGCAUAUAGACACAAAACAUUUUAUACAUGGGAUCAUAAAACACAGUAUUCUGUUGGCUUACUUGUUUUUUUAAAACUCAAAUAAAUAUAGAUUCACAAUUUUUAAAUCUCAUAGUCUUUAACUUUACUUCAACUCAUUUACUUUAUCAAUUUCCUAUUGAUAAAUAUUUGUUUUUGAAAAAUUCAGUUAUUAACAAUGGUUCAAUGAACUUUCAUAUACAUUGAUAUAAUAAAAUCAUUAAAAAAAUUUUAAGAAGUAUUUACCCUUCAGAUGGGUCCCCAUAGCACUUAGCCUUCCUUAUAACAUAGGCCAAGUAUGGCCAGGUAGCAUUGACAGAUAUACAUUACCAAAUGUAAAAUAGAUAGCUAGUGGGAGGCUGCUGCAUAACACAGGGAGAUCACCUUGAUGAUGGGUGAUGGCUUAGAGGGCUGAGAUAAGGAGGGUGGGAAGGAGUCAGGAGGGAGGGGAUAUGAGGAUAUAUGUAUAAAUACAGCUGAUUCCCUUUGUUGUACAGCAAAAAUGGGCAAAACAGUGUAAAGCAAUUAUACUCCAAUAAAGAGCCUAAAGAAAAAAAAAGAAAUUGAACCACAGGAAAAUAAAUAAAUAUCAAAAUCAAAAUUAAAAAUAAAUAAAAAUUAAAGCCUAAAAAAAAAAGAAACUAACCUCACAAAGUUGUAGAGUGUUGUAGCACAUGAUUAAGGAAACUCCUACCCUACAAAAUAUUUUGCCCCCAAGAUGCAAUUUAACUGUUUUAGCAAGGAACACAUCUUUUCCUUUGUACAAUGAAAGAUCUAGAGCGAGGGAAAUGUUUGUUCUAAAGUCAACCUUAUUGACAAGUAAAGUUGUUUAUGAUGGGCAGUUUUGCUGUUUCUCAUAUGCUGGGCUUUACACAAGGCCAUGAUGUUCGCUUGGGCAUAAUUCCAAGGGCCUCCAUCCUCAUUCUCGUCUGUGUGGAUGGCCCUGCUAGGUGAAACCUAUGGGGUAGGCCACUGAGGCCGUGGUAUUUGGAUUAGUUUGUUUCCUGCUAGGUUGGUUUGUUGGUUUAUUGAUUCUCCAGCCAGACCAUUUCUAAAAGAAAUACAUGAGAGAAAAAUCCCAGGAGUAUGUUUCAGGGUUUCAGAAUAGUAGCAAUGAAGAUAGUGUUCAUACAGAAGUUCAGAAAGAGAAUAAAGGCUUCUUUCAUAAUUUGGACAGAGUUGGUUUGACUAAGGUUUUCAGCAAAGCACAUAACCAAAUGUAGAAAUGAAGGUUGCUGACUUGGGCUCUUGUGCUAACCACUAAAUUCAGCUUCCUCUCUUAGCUGCACAGGGCAGAAGCACAGGAAGAAAAAAAAAAUGCCACUCUUUCUGGAACAAGCAGACUUCUGGAAAAUGGCCAGUUCUAGUGCUUGACCUAUAUGAUGCAUCCUUUUAUGAGGUGUGUACCACACCCAGAAAUCUUGGAGAAAUCAUCAUGACACAGAUGAGAUAAUCUCAAAACCUUCUGAUUUCAUGUUGAAAUGAAUAACGUCAGCAGAAGAUUCUGAUUAGCAUUAAAAUUCUGUACUCUGGAAAUAGGCUGUAAUUCUAGGAUCCUAGAAAAUUUAAAUCAGUGUCAAUUCUGUUUGUUUGGGCAGUUGAUGGGAAAAUGGUGUUUCAAGUCCGCAUAUCAGGGGCACGAAUACACAUACUAAAAUAAGAAAUAAGGCAGCAGAUUAGAAUGAGGUAACACAAUGUUCAUGAAGGCAAUAUGUCCAGAAGAUAAUUUUAUUAAAGUGUCAUCAGAGUAUUUGUCAAGUAGAGAAUCACAUCUUCUCUAUCAUGUCUCUUAUUUCACUGGACAUAAAUAUGUAUACCUGCAGUCAUUCUUUUUGGACCUAAGAGAAAUACUUUAUACCAAGAACAAAUUCAUAUACAAGUCGUUUCUUCCUUACUGUAUUAGCUUUGCUGAAUUAGCAGAAGAGGCCUUUGAAUCCCAUCCUGAUGUCAGCACGUCUGAACGGACUAAUUGCUUGACUAAUUCACUCGUUCAAUUCAGCAAAGACAAAAAGAAGAACUCUUGCCUAAGGGAGGAAAAACUCACAAAAGGAAAUCUUAGAAUAUUCUCCUCUCAGAAACUUUGAAAACAAUACCAAAUGUGGCUGGAUUUCAGUGAAUUAUUUGCCAUCAAAGACUGGACUAGCAGGUCAACCUGGCCAGGAUCUCACUGCUACAGCAUCCCAAGAGGGCGAGAAUGGAAGCUGCAUAGCUUCUUGAGAUCCAGACUCAACUCACACAACCUUGCGGUACUUCCAUUGGUUCUACGGGUCAAAGCAAGUCACAAGGCCAGUCCAGAUUCAGGGAAUGUGGAAACAGACUCCACCUCUUGAUGGGAGGAGCUGACAAGUAUUUCUGGCCAUUUUUAAUUUAAUCCAUCACACACAUUCUUAUCAAUGAAUUAUUUUUUAUUUAUUGUUAUUUAUUUUGAGAAAUUUCCCAGUAAACUUUUUUUAAAAAAAAAAUUCACCAGUACAAUAAAGAGGUGUGGUAAGGAAAUAAAAACUUGUAACAGUUUUAUGCAUGUAGUGACCCAAAUUGAAGAAAAAAUUCUUUAUAUAUUAAAAUUGACAUGAGUUGUGAGUUUUAGAGAUAAGUGAAACAAAUAUACUUGGAGUGUAGACACUGUCCCCAAAUGUUGUUUGUGGAAUGGAUUAUUUUAUCAUGGAGUGGUGAGUAAGGCUCGUUGGUCCCCAGAGGUUUAGGCGAUGCUUAGUGCCCUGGAGCCUUGACCCUGAGCUAAUGUUGUGAGGUGGGCCCACUCAUAAAUUAGACACUGCUGGGGAUGGGACUUUCAUGGGGCCUUUAGCUUUGGUACAGCCCCCUUACCUCCUCUUUGUUUCUAGAGCUGGUAAAGAGAUGCUUUCUGUACAUCUUGAGCAGGAAGAUGGAAAGAGUCUGUCAAAAGAGCUUGGGGCUGUGAGAGUUAGGGGUUUGUUUUCCCUUCAUAGAAGGAGUCAGGUGAGCACAGGAGACCUUAGGAUUGCACAGAUCUGUUAUGCUCUCUGCUUUAUCAUUUUACUUUAUUUGUUUGUGUGUAUUCCAAUAAAACUUUGCUUGUUGUUAUAUUUUUAUU